rnacentral:lncRNA from 1 species
UAUGUUCAAUCGUUGGUAUAAGUGUCCACAUCAACAACCAACAACACAUCAUACAAGCUCUUCAAUGGAGUGUAUGUUAAUCAUAUGUAAAAUAACUAAGCGGGUCCACUAAAUAUUGAAGAAAUAACCAUGCUUGCCUCGGAGCUUGUGCGUGAACCGUUGCUUCAAGUUCAUACGAUUUCAUUCUCUCUCUUCUUUUAUUAUGCGCCAUGUCAUCAAAAUCAUCUAUGUGGCAAUUUUACCAACGAUGAU